rnacentral:rRNA from 1 species
AGUCGUAACAAGGUUUCCGUAGGUGAACCUGCGGAAGGAUCAUUACAGAGAACAUGCCCCCCGGGGUAGAUCUCCAACCCUAUGUUUACCAAACCCGUUGCUUUGGCAAGCCCGCCUGUGGGCCGCCGGCAUUCAUGCUGGCCAGCGCUUGCCAGAGGACCCUAAAACUCAUAUUGAUUGUCGUCCGAGUAUCAUAUAAUAUUGAAAACUUUCAACAACGGAUCUCUUGGUUCUGGCAUCGAUGAAGAACGCAGCGAAAUGCGAUAAGUAAUGUGAAUUGCAGAAUUCAGUGAAUCAUCGAAUCUUUGAACGCACAUUGCACCCCUUAGUAUUCUGGGGGGUAUGCCUGUUCGAGCGUCAUUACAACCCUCAAGCCCGGCUUGGUGUUGGGCCUUACCGCUACGGUAAGCCCUAAAAUUAGUGGCGGAGCCGCUCGGUUUCCAGCGUAGUAAAUCUCUCGCUGUGGGAUCGUAGCGUGCCUUCCGCCAGCAACCCCCAAUUUAACAAAGGUUGACCUCGGAUCAGGUAGGGAUACCCGCUGAACUUAAGCAUAUCAAUAAGCGGAGGAAAAGAAACCAACAGGGAUUGCCUCAGUAACGGCGAGUGAAGCGGCAACAGCUCAAAUUUGAAAUCUGGCCUCACGGUCCGAGUUGUAAUUUGUAGAGGAUGCUUCGGGCGUGGUCUAGUCUAAGUUCCUUGGAAUAGGACGUCAUAGAGGGUGAGAAUCCCGUAUGCGUCUGGGUGCCUAAGCCUAUGUGAAGCUCCUUCAACGAGUCGAGUUGUUUGGGAAUGCAGCUCUAAAUGGGUGGUAAAUUUCAUCUAAAGCUAAAUAUUGGCCAGAGACCGAUAGCGCACAAGUAGAGUGAUCGAAAGAUGAAAAGCACUUUGGAAAGAGAGUUAAACAGUACGUGAAAUUGUUGAAAGGGAAGCGCUUGCAACCAGACUUGCAUCUAGCUGAUCAUCCGAUGUUCUCACCGGUGCACUCAGCUAGAUUCAGGCCAGCAUCGGUUUCGGUGGUUAGAUAAAGGCCCUAGGAAUGUAGCUUCCCCCGGGGAGUGUUAUAGCCUAGGGUGCAAUGUAGCCUACCGGGACCGAGGACCGCGCUUCUGCUAGGAUGCUGGCGUAAUGGUUGUAAGCGACC